GACGAACGCUGGCGGCGUGCUUAACACAUGCAAGUCGAACGGAAAGGCCCUGCUUUUGUGGGGUGCUCGAGUGGCGAACGGGUGAGUAACACGUGAGUAACCUGCCCUUGACUUUGGGAUAACUUCAGGAAACUGGAGCUAAUACCUGAUAGGAGCUCCUGCUGCAUGGUGGGGUUUGGAAAGUUUCGGCGGUUGGGGAUGGACUCGCGGCUUAUCAGCUUGUUGGUGGGGUAGUGGCUUACCAAGGCUUUGACGGGUAGCCGGCCUGAGAGGGUGACCGGCCACAUUGGGACUGAGAUACGGCCCAGACUCCUACGGGAGGCAGCAGUGGGGAAUAUUGCACAAUGGGCGGAAGCCUGAUGCAGCAACGCCGCGUGCGGGAUGACGGCCUUCGGGUUGUAAACCGCUUUCGCCUGUGACGAAGCGUGAGUGACGGUAAUGGGUAGAGAAGCACCGGCUAACUACGUG
rnacentral:rRNA from 1 species